GUCUACAGCCACAUCAUCCUGAACACACCCAACCUCAUCAGAUCUUGGAAGUUAAGCAAGGAUGGGCCUUGUUAGUGUUUGGAAGGGAGAUUGCCUGUAAAUACCGGGUGCUGUAGGCA
rnacentral:rRNA from 1 species